UACGUAGGGUGCGAGCGUUAAUCGGAAUUACUGGGCGUAAAGCGUGCGCAGGCGGUUUUGUAAGCCAGAUGUGAAAUCCCCGGGCUUAACCUGGGAAUGGCAUUUGGGACUGCAAGGCUGGAGUGCGGCAGAGGAGACUGGAAUUCCUGGUGUAGCAGUGAAAUGCGUAGAUAUCAGGAGGAACACCAGUGGCGAAGGCGAGUCUCUGGGAUGAUGCUGACGCUGAGGCGCGAAAGCCAGGGAGCAAACGGG
rnacentral:rRNA from 1 species